AUUGAACGCUGGCGGUAUGCUUAACACAUGCAAGUCGAACGAUGAGAAAGAGCUUGCUCAUUCGAUUAGUGGCGGACGGGUGCGUAACGCGUAGGAAUCUACCUAUUAGUGGGGGACAACUUAGGGAAACUUAAGCUAAUACCGCAUACGCCCUACGGGGGAAAGAAGGGGAUCGCAAGACCUUUUGCUAAUAGAUGAGCCUGCGUAGGAUUAGCUAGUUGGUGGGGUAAAAGCUCACCAAGGCGACGAUCCUUAACUGGUUUGAGAGAAUGCGCCGUCACACUGAAACUGAGACACGGUCCAGACUCCUGCGGGAGGCAGCAGUGGGGAAUAUUGGACAAUGGGCGAAAGCCUGAUCCAGCAAUACCGCGUGUGUGAAGAAGGCCUUAGGGUUGUAAAGCACUUUCAAUUGGAAGGAAAACCUCGAAGCUAAUACCUUCGAGUUUGACAUUACCUUUAGAAGAAGCACCGGCUAACUCCGUGCCAGCCGCCGCGGUAA
rnacentral:rRNA from 1 species